rnacentral:tRNA from 1 species
GUUUGUGGCUCAGUGGUAGAGUGUUCAUCUUGCAUGUGUGAGGCCUUGGGUGCGAUCCUCAGCAUCACA